AUCGAGAUAACCAGUCUCUCCACACACCACUAGGCAGGAUGCAGUGGUCAAUGGGCAUAGGCUGUCCACCCUUCUUAAAAACGGGCCAGGGCUCCUCCCUUUAAGCCUCAAAGCUCAUACUGAGCUAUGCAGUGUAGCUCUGAACCUUUGUUCACCCACCUUACACCCUCAGUUGUUAAUUAUAAAUAUGUUAAGCUCAAAGAGAUGGCUCCAGUGGUACCACAACGUACCUAGCAAGUUAUAUACAGCUACUGUUCCUUACUUUAUUAUUACUACAUACCUGUGCUGUUUCCUGGUAGUUUGUUUACACCAGCUCUGAUUUUAUAGAACUCAAUCGAAGUUUAUCUCUAACUACCCAAGUGUCCCCUAUUUACAUUACACAUAUGACACUGUUCCAUUGGUAUCUCACAUGUGGCAUUUUGUCUUAUUUCACUUCUUAAAAAAAAAAUAAAAAAUGUACAGCUACUCCUGACAUCUGUG